rnacentral:lncRNA from 1 species
CUGGAAUGAAGUCUCAGCUCCAUGAGUUAUUGCUACUGAGUGCUUUUAUUUUCCCUGAAGAUCUUUUGGAAGCAGUCCUUGAUUGCCGGAAUCUAAAAAUAAGGUGUAUAACCCACCAUCCAGAAUCCCUCCAGUGUCAGCUGAAUUCCUCGUGUUCAUAUUCCAAAGAAAACUACUGCAGUUGUCUUCAGCUGUUGCCUCUGUUGGUGGUCCUUGUAGAGGAGCCAAGGGCUGGGACUCAGGGCCCUGGCUGCUACUGCAAGCUUCUCCUAGAGACUAAAUAG